AUGUCCAGAACCACCCACCACUACGCUCGCCUCGGACACUGUGCAUUCAAAUCCCACACGGGAACACACAGCCCGCGCUCUCCAGGGUCCUCAUUACUGAGCACCUGUGAGGACCAGCAGACACAGGGUCACCGGGAGACACGGGGUCACCUGAAGACACGAGGGUCACCGGGAGACAAUGGGGUCACUGGGAGAAACAAGAGUCACCAGGAGGGACGAGGGUCACCGGGAGAAAUGGGGUCACCGGGAGACACAGGGUCACCGGGAGACACAGGGUCACCGGGAGACAAUGGGGUCACCGGGAGACAAUGGGGUCACUGGGAGACAAUGGGGUCACUGGGAGAAACAAGAGUCACCAGGAGACAUGGGGUCACCGGGAGGGACGAGGGUCACCGGGAGACAUGGGGUCACUGGGAGACACAGGGUCACUGGGAGACAAUGGGGUCACUGGGAGAAACAAGAGUCACCAGGAGACAUGGGGUCACCGGGAGACAAUGGGCUCACCGGGAGACAUGGGGUCACCGGGAGAAACAAGAGUCACCAGGAGACAAUGGGGUCACUGGGAGAAACAAGAGUCACCAGGAGACAUGGGGUCACUGGGAGAAACAAGAGUCACCAGGAGACACGGGGUCACCGGGAGACACAGGGUCACUGGGAGACAAUGGGGUCACUGGGAGAAACAAGAGUCACCAGGAGACAAUGGGGUCACUGGGAGAAACAAGAGUCACCAGGAGACAUGGGGUCACCGGGAGGGACGAGGGUCACCAGGAGACAGGGACACAGGGUCACCGGGACAUGGGGUCACUGAGAAAAGGUCACUGGGAGAAACGGAGACACGGGGUCACUGGGAGACAAUGGGGUCACUGGGAGAAACAAGGAGUCUGGGAGACAAUGGGGUCACCGGGAGAAACAAGAGUCACCAGGAGACAUGAGGUCACUGGGAGGGACAAGGGUCACUGGGAGGCACAGGGUCCCCAGGAGACAAUGGGGUCAUUGGGAGAAACAAGAGUCACCAGGAGACACGGGGUCACCAGGAGAAAUAAGGGUCACCAGGAGGGCCGAGGUCUGGCCCCCAAGGUUCACAGACAGCAGGAAGGAAGCACACGAGGAGGGAGUUCUGGGGGGAGAAAGGGACAGGCAGCUCUGCUGGGGAGGCUGGGGUGGCCCUGA
rnacentral:lncRNA from 1 species